AGUUCUUCUACCAGGACUAAAUUUUGAUAAAAUGACUUUUGCUGUUCCUUUCAUAUCUAAGAUUCUUGAGGAGAAUUAAAUAUAGUAGUCUAGAGUUUCAACCUUUGAACAUAACGACCGUGGGCGUAUACCUUGUAAAGGGGUAACACUGGUGAGCCAUAAACUAAUCCAAAAAUUCACACCUUUUCUUUUGUUCUUACAGGUAGGUAAUCCAUAAUUUCAUUGUCGGUGGUGGUAUGUUCAAUUAAGUACUGUUUGCUAAUAUUUACCUUCUAAGUGCACUAGUAAGGGUUGCUAAAAAUUACUUUGAAAAAGCCAACAUUGACAUAUUACUAGUUUACUGAAGACCAAAAGUCAGUAUUUUCACUAGAAGUCUGCACUCUAGACACUACAUAUAUAACCUAUCACUCUCUACAUAAUAGAUUAUUUGCAAUUAUUUAGUUAUUUUAUCUAAUUCUAAUUAUAACCCUAUGGAAUUUUUAUGUUACUGUUACUACAUUUUACAGAGGAGAAGACAGAGGUAGCAGAAAACUAAGCUAAUUUCCCAAGGUAACUCAACUAGCAGAAGAUAGAACCACAUGUGGAGAUCAGGCUCCAGAGAAAUCCUUUUAACAUCUACACUAUAUUUCAUCUUAGCACCUGUAGAGUUGUCGAGCUUGAGCGGCACGUGAGAAGGCAGGCAUAAGUGGGCUGUGGUUGAACAAAAAAUGUCAGAGAUAAAUGAUCAUCAGUCUAGAGGUGAAGACAAUGUGGGAUUAGAGUGAGGAAGAAGGUACCUGCUUGGAAUGAGAGAUGUAGUUGCUUUGAGUGACUGGAGUCUGGAUGGCGUAGUAGCAACAAGGAGAGAGAGGGCCAGGCGUGGUGGCUCAUGCCUGUAAUCCCAGCACUUUAGGGGGCCGAGGCAGGUGGAUCACAAGGUCAGGAAUUCAAGACCAGCCUGGCCAAGUUCGUGAAACCUCGUCUCUACUAAAAAUACAAAUAUUAGCCAGGCAUGGUGGCGAGCACCUGUAAUCCCAGCCACUUGGGAGGCUGAGGCAGAGAACUGCUUGAAUCUGGGAGGCAGAGGUUACAGUGAACCGAGAUCGCACCACU
rnacentral:lncRNA from 1 species